UCUAACAUAGGCCAUGGAUGACGUACCGGACUAGAAGCACCGGCUAACUACGUGCCAGCAGCCGCGGUAAUACGUAGGGUGCGAGCGUUAAUCGGAAUUACUGGGCGUAAAGCGUGCGCAGGCGGUUUUGUAAGACAGAUGUGAAAUCCCCGGGCUUAACCUGGGAACUGCGUUUGUGACUGCAAGGCUAGAGUACGGCAGAGGGGGGUGGAAUUCCUGGUGUAGCAGUGAAAUGCGUAGAGAUCAGGAGGAACACCGAUGGCGAAGGCAGCCCCCUGGGCCUGUACUGACGCUCAUGCACGAAAGCGUGGGGAGCAAACAGGAUUAGAUACCCUGGUAGUCCACGCCCUAAACGAUGUCGACUAGUCGUUCGGAGCAGCAAUGCACUGAGUGACGCAGCUAACGCGUGAAGUCGACCGCCUGGGGAGUACGGCCGCAAGGUUAAAACUCAAAGGAAUUGACGGGGAG
rnacentral:rRNA from 1 species